AAGCCAAGAAACUGCCUAAGGCCG
rnacentral:siRNA from 1 species